rnacentral:lncRNA from 1 species
CUCUUUUCGGACUCAGCCCACCUGCACCCAGGUGAAAUAAACAGCUUUACUGCUCUCACACAAAGCCUGUUUGGUGGUCUCUUCACACGGACGCGCAUGAAAUUUGGUGCCAUGACUCGGAUCGGGGGACCUCCCUUGGGAGAUCAAUCCCCUGUCUUCCUGUUCUUUGCUCCGUGAGAAAGAUCCACCUACAACCUCAGGUCCUCAGACCGACCAGCCCAAGGAACAUCUCACCAAUUUUAAAUCAGGAGCUUACUACACGUGCCGGCAAUCUGGCCACUGGGCCAAGGAAUGCCCGCAGCCCGGGAUUCCUCCUAAGCCGCGUCCCAUCUGUGUGGGACCCCACUGGAAAUCGGACUGUUCAACUCACCUGGCAGCCACUCCCAGAGCCCCUGGAACUCUGGCCCAAGGCUCUCUGACUGACUCCUUCCCAGAUCUUCUUGGCUUAGCGGCUGAAGACUGACACUGCCCGAUUGCCUUGGAAGCCCCCUAAACCAUCACGGAUGCCGAGCUUCGGGUAACUCUCACAGUGGAAGAAGGCAGGAAUGUCAGGCCUCUGAGCCCAAGCCAAGCCAUCGCAUCCCCUGUGAUUUGCACAUAUACACCCAGAUGGCCUGAAGUAACUGAAGAAUCACAAAAGAAGUGAAUAUGCCCUGCCCCACCUUAACUGAUGACAUUCCACCACAAAAGAAGUGUAAAUGGCCGGUCCUUGCCUGAAGUGAUGACAUUACCUUGUGAAAGUCCUUUUCCUGGCUCAUCCUGGCUCAAAAAGCACCCCCACUGAGCACCUUGCGACCCCCACUCCUGCCCGCCAGAGAACAACCCCCCUUUGACUGUAAUUUUCCUUUACCUACCCAAAUCCUAUAAAACGGCCCCACCCUUAUCUCCCUUCGCUGACUCUCUUUUCGGACUCAGCCUGCCUGCACCCAGGUGAUUAAAAGCUUUAUUGCUCACACAAA